rnacentral:rRNA from 1 species
AUACGUAGGGUGCAAGCGUUAAUCGGAAUUACUGGGCGUAAAGCGUGCGCAGGCGGUUUUGUAAGACAGGGGUGAAAUCCCCGGGCUCAACCUGGGAACUGCCAUUGUGACUGCAAGGCUGGAGUGCGGCAGAGGGGGAUGGAAUUCCGCGUGUAGCAGGGAAAUGCGUAGAUAGGCGGAGGAACACCGAGUGCGAAGGCAGUCCCCUGAGACUGCGCAGUAUCCUGUGCACGUAAGUGUGGGUGGCAAACAAUUGUAGAUACGCUGGUAUUCCACUCAGUAAACGAUGUCAACUUGUUGUUGGGGAUUUAUUUUCUCAGUGACUAAGCUAACGCGUGAAGGUUACCGCCUGGGGCGUACGGCAUCAACGUUACAACUCAAAGGAUUUGACGUGG